GAAAAAGGCAAUAGAGGCCGAGUUUGGAGAGAACAAGGAGAUUGUACAAUGGGUAUCAAACAAUUUGAAGACAAGAGAAAGUGUAUUAAGCUUAGUAGAUUCAAGAAUUCCAGAUGUAUUUAAAGAAGAUGCAAUAAAGGUAUUAAGAAUUGCAAUUUUGUGCACAGCAAGACUUCCCACUUUGAGACCCACAAUGAGAAGUGUCGUUCAAAUGCUCGAAGAAGCUCAACCUUGUCGCUUGCUUGGAAUUCUCAUUACCAAAGAUGGUGGGACUGUUAAAAAGGAAUUACCUUUGGAUGUCAAUAAAAUUAGUCUCUAAAAUCUUAAGAUUAG
rnacentral:misc_RNA from 1 species